ensembl:processed_transcript
CGCCCUUUGUCCCACAAGUGGGAGGGGGCAACCGUGGCGAAGGGUCCCAGGAUGGGCAACCGGUAUGGGGGUGUGGACCGUGGGCACCGUUCCCCGCCCUUGGGUGCUCAAGGUACAAGGGGCCGAGGCCCCGCUCUCACCCACCCGCGCACCGACUCCAGCCCCGGGACCGACGGCAGUGGCGGCGCCCAUGCCCAGCGCAGGGGAGCGUCUGCAAAGUGUCGCGGAGAGAAGCGCCCACCCACCAGUAAGCGGGCGUAGCGGCAGAGGAGGGGGAGAACUGGAUGGCGGAGCGCGCAGGGACGUGGGCACUAACCGAAUCAGGCCUGCCGGGACUGGGGCGCCUCUUCCUGGAGCCCAGCACUGCUUAAAGCUGGCUGGAAUAAGUUGAAACAGAAGAAUCCGAAGUUCAACGUUGUCUUCUGCAAUAUAUUGAGUUGGAGGCCGGCCUGGGCUACAUGAAAUCACAUCUUAAAACAAGGAUGGAGAGCGGCUGCGAUUCUUGCCAGUGAUCCAGCAGGGGAAAGUAAGGUCUCCAGAGGAGACCAGCCAUUCCAAGG